rnacentral:rRNA from 1 species
GAUGAACGCUGCCAGAAUGCUUAACACAUGCAAGUCAUUGGCGAAGCUGCGCUUGCGCAGUCUAGCCAAGGCGGACGGGUGAGUAACGCGUAAGGAACUUGCCCUGCAGACAGGGAUAACAGACGGAAACGACUGAUAAAACCUGGUAUUGUCAGGCUGGCGCAUGCCGGCCUGAUGAAAGGAGACGCUGCAGGAGAGCCUUGCGUCCUAUUAGCUAGUUGGUGGGGUAACGGCCCACCAAGGCGAUGAUAGGUAGCCGGCCUGAGAGGGUGAACGGCCACAAGGGGACUGAGAUACGGCCCUUACUCCUACGGGAGGCAGCAGUGGGGAAUAUUGGACAAGGGGGGCAACCCUGAUCCAGCAAUUCUGUGUGCACGAAGAAGGUUUUCGGAUUGUAAAGUGCUUUCAGCAGGGAAGAAGAAAGUGACGGUACCUGCAGAAGAAGCGACGGCUAAAUACGUG